AUCCUGGCUCAGAGCGAACGCUGGCGGCAGGCUUAACACAUGCAAGUCGAGCGGGCGUAGCAAUACGUCAGCGGCAGACGGGUGAGUAACGCGUGGGAACGUACCUUUUGGUUCGGAACAACACAGGGAAACUUGUGCUAAUACCGGAUAAGCCCUUACGGGGAAAGAUUUAUCGCCGAAAGAUCGGCCCGCGUCUGAUUAGCUAGUUGGUAGGGUAACGGCCUACCAAGGCGACGAUCAGUAGCUGGUCUGAGAGGAUGAUCAGCCACAUUGGGACUGAGACACGGCCCAAACUCCUACGGGAGGCAGCAGUGGGGAAUAUUGGACAAUGGGGGCAACCCUGAUCCAGCCAUGCCGCGUGAGUGAUGAAGGCCCUAGGGUUGUAAAGCUCUUUUGUGCGGGAAGAUAAUGACGGUACCGCAAGAA
rnacentral:rRNA from 1 species